AGGAGGAGUGUACAGAGGAGUGAAGGAGGAGUGUACAGAGGAGUGAAGGAGGUGAGUACAGAGGAGUGAAGGAGGAGUGUACAAAUGAGUGAAGGAGGAGUGUACAGAGGAGUGAAGGAGGAGUGUACAGAGGAGUGAAGGAGGUGAGUACAGAGGAGUGAAGGAGUGUACAAAUGAGUGAAGGAGGAGUGUACAGAGGAGUGAAGGAGGUGAGUACAAAGGAGUGAAGGAGUGUACUAAUGAGUGAAGGAGGAGUGUACAGAGGAGUGAAGGAGGUGAGUACAGAGGAUUGAAGGAGUGUACAAAUGAGUGAAGGAGGAGUGUACAGAGGAGUGAAAGAGGAGUGUACAGAUGAGUGAAGGAGUGUACAAAUGAGUGAAGGAGGAGUGUACAGAGGAGUGAAGGAGGAGUGUACAGAGGAGUGAAGGAGGUGAGUACAGAGGAGUGAAGGAGUGUACAAAUGAGUGAAGGAGGAGUGUACAGAGGAGUGAAGGAGGUGAGUACAGAGGAGUGAAGGAGUGUACAAAUGAGUGAAGGAGGAGUGUACAGAGGAGUGAAGGAGGACUGUACAUAGAUGUGAAGGAGGAGUGUACAGAGGAGUGAAGGAGGUGAGUACAAAGGAGUGAAGGAGGUGUGUACAGAGGAGUGAAUGAGGAGUGUAGGAGGUGUGUACAGAGGAGUGAGUGAGGACUGUACGGAGGAGUGUGCAGAGGAGUGGAGGAGGAGUGUACACAGGAUUGAAUGAGGAGUGUGCAGUGGAGUGAAAGAGGAGUGAGGAGGUGAGUGUGCAGAGAAGGACAGACUCAUUCGCCUCUGAAUGAUGCGAGGUGUUUGAGGAGUCUGAUCUCCACACAGACCUUUGAUCUGGUCCUGAUCUGAAUCCUGACAGAUCCGCAGCGUCUCAGUAAACUUAAACACACACACACACACACACACACACAGAAAGAGAUAGAGCAGUGCUCAUCAGUGUUUGGAAUAACGGCGUUUAAAAGAACGGCGUUAGGUAACAACGUUAUUUUUUCAGUAACGCAGUAAUUUAACUAAUUACUUUUCCCGUUGUUACAACGCUGUUAACGUUACUGAACGUUAAAUGCGGUGCGUUACUAUGCAUUGAUUUAAUAAACUGUGCAAUCCGAACGGACCCCUGGCUCACACAGCGAAUGAGGAGGUGGGUUAAUGACGAGAUAAGCAAUUAUGAUUAGCUAAGGCAGAAUCAUGUGUUUCAUGGUAGCCAAUCAGAGCCAGUGUUUUUACACACAUGCCGGCACACGCGGCUGCGCCAGCGGCGCCAAACACACACACACACACACACAACACACGCAACAGCUACACAGAGAUUCGCAGCAGCAGCAGAAAUGGCGAGUCAGGAGCAAUCCGAUGAAAAGUUGGCAUUUUCAAGGUGAAGAUAUAAGCACUACUUCAAAUUCAUUGUGGUCAAAGGCAAGAACGUGCAUGUAAUGUGUACAUGUAAUGUGUGACACGCAUCUACAAAGCUAGUGGCCAAAAACACUUUUCUUACAAAGAUAAUACUUGUAGUGCAGGAUAAAACUCUUGCUGUCUGUUGACGUGCAAUAAAUAUUGAAAGUUA